GCUUUACUGUAACCUGAAAUUGAAAUUGGACUUUAUUUGCGCAGUAUAGGUGGGAGGCUUUGAAGGUAUUCUUGCGGGAAUAUUGGAGCCAUCAGUGAGAUACCACUCCUGUAAUGUUAGAUUUCUAACUUUGUAUCAUUAUCUGGUCAAAGAACAGUUUCAGGCGGGCAGUUUGACUGGGGCGGUCGCCUCCUAAAUGGUAACGGAGGCGCACAAAGGUUUCCUCUGAACGGGUAGAAAUCGUAUCUAGAGUGUAAAGGCAUAAGGAAGCUUGACUGUGAGACCUACAAGUCGAGCAGGGACGAAAGUCGGUCUUAGUGAUCUGACGGUGCUG
rnacentral:rRNA from 1 species